UUGACCUCGGAUCAGGUAGGGAUACCCGCUGAACUUAAGCAUAUCAAUAAGCGGAGGAAAAGAAACCAACAGGGAUUGCCUCAGUAACGGCGAGUGAAGCGGCAAGAGCUCAAAUUUGAAAGCUGGCUCCUUCGGGGUCCGCAUUGUAAUUUGCAGAGGAUGCUUCGGGAGUGGCCCCCAUCUAAGUGCCCUGGAACGGGCCGUCAUAGAGGGUGAGAAUCCCGUCUGGGAUGGGGUGCCCACAACCGUGUGAAGCUCCUUCGACGAGUCGAGUUGUUUGGGAAUGCAGCUCUAAAUGGGUGGUAAAUUUCAUCUAAAGCUAAAUACUGGCCGGAGACCGAUAGCGCACAAGUAGAGUGAUCGAAAGAUGAAAAGCACUUUGAAAAGAGAGUUAAACAGCACGUGAAAUUGUUGAAAGGGAAGCGCUUGCGACCAGACUCGCCCACGGGGUUCAGCCGGCAUUCGUGCCGGUGUACUUCCCCGCGGGCGGGCCAGCGUCGGUUUGGGCGGCCGGUCAAAGGCCCUUGGAAUGUAACGCCCCCCGGGGCGUCUUAUAGCCAAGGGUGCCAUGCGGCCAGCCCGGACCGAGGAACGCGCUUCGGCUCGGACGCUGGCAUAAUGGUCGUAAGCGACC
rnacentral:rRNA from 1 species